AAUCAAGGUUGGUUACCUCUUGGUUUAGUAGUGCUAUACUCUUAAUUAACACACGAGGUUUGAGGUUUCUCCUAUUUAAAAUCAUAUAUCAACCAAAUGUAGGUGUAUUGGUUUAUAUGAGUAGUGAAUGAAUUGAAUAUAUGCAGUCGGAAAAAGAGAGAGCCCGGCGUUGCUACGACAGCUACUAUGAGUACCACAGGUGCAUCGAAGAAAAGGGUGCGGACGCAGAAGCAUGCAAGAAAGUAGCCGACUACUAUAAAUCAACCUGUCCUGAUUGGAUUGGGAGGUGGAGGAUUCAGUCACACAUUGCACCACCACCAUAGUCUCACUCUGCUUCUUAUUAGUAAUUAGUAAUAGUAGAUACAAUAACUAAGUUAUUUUGCGUUGCCUCUAAACUUACCUAUAUACCUCCUUUACAUGCAUAUAUGUAUUUUCGACUUUUUCCUUAUGUUUCUUGAAUGUUCCCAUGGACCUUUUUAAAUUUGUGUAAAAGGGAGAUCAUGUCCACUUCAAAUUUCAUCUUUUUUGUAUACAAACA